rnacentral:rRNA from 1 species
GAUGAACGCUGGCGGCGUGCUUAACACAUGCAAGUCGAACGGAAAGGCCCAAGCUUGCUUGGGUGCUCGAGUGGCGAACGGGUGAGUAACACGUGGGUGAUCUGCCCUGCACUUUGGGAUAAGCCUGGGAAACUGGGUCUAAUACCGGAUAGGACCAUCGUUUAGUGUCGGUGGUGGAAAGUUUUUCGGUGUGGGAUGAGCUCGCGGCCUAUCAGCUUGUUGGUGGGGUAAUGGCCUACCAAGGCGUCGACGGGUAGCCGGCCUGAGAGGGUGUACGGCCACAUUGGGACUGAGAUACGGCCCAGACUCCUACGGGAGGCAGCAGUGGGGAAGAUUGCACAAGGGGCGCAAGCCUGAUGCAGCGACGCCGCGUGGGGGAGGACGGCCUUCGGGUUGUAAACUCCUUUCGCCAAGGACGAAGCGUUUUGUGACGGUACUUGGAGAAGAAGCACCGGCUAACUACGUG